UACGGGGGGGGCAAGCGUUGUUCGGAAUUACUGGGCGUAAAGGGUUUGUAGGGGGCUUGUUAAGUCAGACGUGAAAUCCCUCAGCUUAACUGGGGAACUGCGUCUGAUACUGGCGAGCUUGAGUGCAGAAGAGGAACGCGGAAUUCCAGGUGUAGCGGUGAAAUGCGUAGAUAUCUGGAGGAACACCGGUGGCGAAGGCGGCGUUCUGGACUGCAACUGACACUGAGAAACGAAAGCCAGGGUAGCAAACGGG
rnacentral:rRNA from 1 species